GCGGAUGCAUCAACUGACUGGAAGGAAUUUACUAGUCCUGAUGGAAGAAAGUAUUACUUCAACAAGGUUACCAGGCAAUCAAAAUGGGAAAUCCCUGAGGAAUUGAAGUUGGCUCGUGAACGAGUUGAAAAAGCAUCUAUAGUGGAGACCCAGACAGAAAAUUCAGCAAAUUCUCAUAACCAAGCUGUUCCUCCAUCUGUGGAAAAAACACCAUCUGGUGCAGAUGCUUUGGCUUUCCCAGCUCAAGGGACGCCUUCGAGCCCAGUUCUUGUCACCC
rnacentral:misc_RNA from 1 species